rnacentral:rRNA from 1 species
UACGAAGGGGGCUAGCGUUGUUCGGAAUUACUGGGCGUAAAGGGCUCGUAGGCGGCCAACUAAGUCAUACGUGAAAUCCCUCAGCUUAACUGGGGAACUGCGUGUGAUACUGGAUGGCUUGGAUUUGGGAGAGGGAUGCGGAAUUCCAGGUGUAGCGGUGAAAUGCGUAGAUAUCUGGAGGAACACCGGUGGCGAAGGCGGCAUCCUGGACCAAUAUUGACGCUGAGGAGCGAAAGCUAGGGGAGCAAACGGG